rnacentral:rRNA from 1 species
CCUACGGGGGGCAGCAGUGGGGAAUAUUCCACAAUGAGGGAAACCUUGAUGCAGCGACGCAGCGUGCGUGAAGAAGUAAUUCGUUAUGUAAAGCUCUAUCAUCAGGGAAGAAAAUGACGGUACCUGAGUAAGAAGCGCCGGAUAACUACGUGCCAGCAACCGCGGUAAUACGUAGGGGGAAAGCGUUAUCCGGAUAUACUGGGUGUAAAGUGAGCGUAGACGGUAGUGCAAGGCUGGAGUGAAAGGCGGGGGGUCAACCCCCGGACUGCUCUGGAAACUGGACGGCUGGAGUGCAGGAGAGGUAAGUGGAAUUCCAAGUGAAGCGGUGAAAUGCGUAGAUAUAAGGAAGAACACCAGUGGCGAAGGCAGCUUACUGG